UUUUAUGAGAGUUUGAUCCUGGCUCAGGACGAACGCUGGCGGCGUGCCUAAUACAUGCAAGUCGAACGCUUCUUUUUCCACCGGAGCUUGCUCCACCGGAAAAAGAGGAGUGGCGAACGGGUGAGUAACACGUGGGUAACCUGCCCAUCAGAAGGGGAUAACACUUGGAAACAGGUGCUAAUACCGUAUAACAAUCGAAACCGCAUGGUUUUGAUUUGAAAGGCGCUUUCGGGUGUCG
rnacentral:rRNA from 1 species